rnacentral:rRNA from 1 species
CCUACGGGUGGCAGCAGUGGGGAAUAUUGUACAAUGGGCGCAAGCCUGAUGCGGCCAUGCCGCGUGUGUGAAGAAGGCCUUCGGGUUGUAAAGCACUUUCAGCGGGGAGGAAGGCGGUGAGGUUAAUAACCUCAUCGAUUGACGUUACCCGCAGAAGAAGCACCGGCUAACUCCGUGCCAGCAGCCGCGGUAAUACGGAGGGUGCAAGCGUUAAUCGGAAUUACUGGGCGUAAAGCGCACGCAGGCGGUCUGUCAAGUCGGAUGUGAAAUCCCCGGGCUCAACCUGGGAACUGCAUUCGAAACUGGCAGGCUAGAGUCUUGUAGAGGGGGGUAGAAUUCCAGGUGUAGCGGUGAAAUGCGUAGAUAUCUGGAGGAAUACCGGUGGCGAAGGCGGCCCCCUGGACAAAGACUGACGCUCAGGUGCGAAAGCGUGGGGAGCAAACAGGAUUAGAUACCCGAGUAGUC